rnacentral:lncRNA from 1 species
CACAUUACUUCAGUGCAGCUUUCAGGUACUCGCUUUGAUUCCAAACUGCUCCACAGAUUAGGAAACAUUUCCAUGAAUGUCUUGUUUAAGAGCAUUAAAGCGCUGCAAAGUGGUUGUUCAAGGCAGAAUUCUCAGUUGUUCCUUCAACGCAGAGAAGAGAAGAAAAGAGCAGAGCAGCUGUAUAAAGAUUAUUUCCGUCCGUCUCCUCCGCGCUGGUUUAGCUCAGUGGUUACUUCUCUCCUCAAAUCUUACUGCAAGAUUUCGCGGUCUCUAUCCCUCCCCGGGAUCAAACCACGGGCGCUGUCCAGUGUUUUCUUGGAGACAUAACUGUUGAACAUGUAUAAAUUGCGUGUUUCUUUCCUUUUCUUUCGCUUACGGCCAUACCACUCUGAACACGCCCGAUCUCGUCCGAUCUCGGAAGCUAAGCAGGGUCGGGCCUGGUUAGUACUUGGAUGGGAGACCGCCUGGGAAUACCAGGUGCUGUAAGCUUUUUAAUUUCUCUGCAUAAACAAGGAAUGCAGUCAAUUACUCAAGUAUUUUCCAACACACAUUAGACUAACACAUGCACACAAAUUUUUAAUGGAAAUAUAUGAGAAAAUAGCUAAAUACAAACACUAUGUUUCAGACAAGCUGCUGUUGUUCAGAGCUGUGUCUCCACUGAAGCAGCAGCUGCUCUGCUGUCUGUGUAGCAAUGGAAAGCCAGUGUUCACUCUUCCAGCAGGAGUUUUCCCUCCUUCUGUCCCUGCUGCUCCUCAGCUGAACACCUCCAACUCACAAGAGAGAAAGUGUGAGAGUGAGCAGGAGGACGAACUCAUCAAAAGGCCGCUGAAUGCCUUCAUGUUGUACAUAAAGGAGCACAGGCCCCACGUUGAGGAGGACGUUAAGAUGAUGGGGAACGGGGCUGUGAAUAUGGUCCUGAGACAGAGGGUUAGUGUGACAGUCACAGUGUUAUAAACUUGAUCAAUGUUUCACCUGUAUCAUCCCAGGGCAAAUAAAAGAAGCGCAGGG